rnacentral:lncRNA from 10 species
CCAGCCGGCCUGCGCACUGGGAGGAGUGCGCACUGGGGUGGAGCCACAGAAGUUCGUGCCUUUUGCAGUGGGGAGGAGCCUGGCCCUUCCUCUUCCUGGGUGUUACCUGGAAUUCAAUCUGCCAGGUGGGAAGCAUGUACUAACGAGACUCUCAGUCUUCCUUUGUGGAGAGUCCCUGUUUCCUUUUCUUUUCCCUUUUCACCCAAUAAAUUCCUUUUUUCUCCCCUUUUAAAUUAUAUGUGAGCCUUUUUUCAUGAUCAUGUGACGAGGACCCUGUCUUUAGCUGAGCUACGGAGAGAGUCCUGCAACACCUUCACGUAGACAUUCUUGUGAGUCAGCAGAGGUCUCUGAUUUGCAUCCUUCUGUAGUCUCUCAGGAACUCAGGAAUGAAAGCUUUGUGGGAACAUCACUUCACAAUCAUUGAAGAAGUGGGAAAGAAACUCUGGAAGUUUCUAGUUGGCAAUUAAGUGCUCUGGCCACACUUCACUUCUGCUCACAACUCAUUGGUCAGAACUAGUCACAAGGCACCAUCCCACCACAAGAAUGCCAGAAAAGUUCAUAGUUCCAUCUGUACAAAAGAUUGAAGUUGGGAAAAGCAAUCACUUUCAGAAAGCAAACCCUCUUGUUCCUGGUGCUCAGCUGGAAGAUUGCCCCGGCCUCUGGGUUUAGUGAAUAAUAAACUUCCAAACUUCCUUCCUUCACAACCACUGACCAUGACUAACUCUUUGUGAAAGAACUCUGAACACUAUAAGAAACAUAAGAAAGCUCUGUGGGUCUUAUGGUGCAUGUAACAUUCUGGAGAAGCUUUUGGGUCCUCAUUCCAUGUUGGCUACCACUGCUAAGAUUUGAGAAAGUCCAUGCAUGGGAGCAGGACAAAGAGAAAUAAUCUGAUCAUCCCUAAGAGGUUUCAAGAAUGAGCAAUUGCGUAAAGCUGAGUCCUGGAAGGCUGCCUGUAGGGGGCAGUAUGUGGUCUGGCCUUAAGGACAAACGGAAUUUUCACCGGAGAAGACUGUGGCGGGGGCUUUUCAGGAGGAAUGAAUAGGAAGAGUACAGGAGGCUGUAUAGCAGCAGGUGGCUUUGUUUGGUUGGAAAACACUCCAAGUGAAAAGGCAUUGUGAAGAAUGGAAGAGCUACUGAGAAACCAGCCUAUGGAGUUUGGCUGUCUCUCCUAGUCACAAAUAAGGAGCUGUUACUGGUUUUUGUCAAAAGAACAGGAUGAUCACAUCUGUGCCUUAGGACACUUUAGAUGGGGCAGAACAGGUACAGGGGAUGUGGUGGGGGAAGAAAUGACUCGAUUUCAAACAAAUCAAAUAAAUUACUUUGAUGUUUAAAAAAAAAAAAUAAAAUUGUUUGUUUUUAUAGAAAUAGUGUUACUGGGUAAACAGGUAUGAAAAUCAUUGAACUGAGAUAUAAUGGGAAAUUACUUUCUACAAAGAUGGUACCAACCUAUAUUCUGACUAGCAGUGGUUUAAAGUGCUCUCAAGAGUACUUGAUAAUACAUUUAAUUUUUUUUUUGUACUUACAAUGGGCCAGUAACCAUUUCAGUCUCCAGAAAUAUGGUGGCAAACAUACAUCUUUGCUACUGUAGAGCUUAAAUUCUAAAUAGACAAGAGCAUUUCACAACUGGUAAGUGCUAUAAAGAAAAUUAGGGGAAGAAAGUGGAAAGUUAUUGCCAUCUGAGGCUAUAAGCACAUUAGAUAAAGUGACCAGGAAGAUUCCUUUGAGGAAGUGAUAUUUAAGCUGAGACCUGAAUAAUGAGAAGGAUCUACCCCAUGAAGACCAACGGGAAGAAUUUUUUUUUUUUUCCCACUACCCUAAUUUUUACUUAAAAAAAUUUUGUGAGUACGUAAUAGGUAUACAUAUUUUGGGGGUACAUGAGAAGUUUUGAUACCAGCAUGGAAAGUGAAAUAAGCAUAUCAUGGAGAAUGGGGUAUCCAUACUCUCAAGCAUUUAUCUUUUGAAUUAUAAACAAUUCAAUUACACUCUUACAGUUAUUAUAAAAUGUACAAUUAAGUUAUUAUUGACUAUAGUAUCCCUUCUGUUGUGUUGAGUAGUAGGUCUUAUUCGUUCUUCUAACUAUUCUUUUUUGUACACACUAACUGUCCCUAUCUCCCAUCCAGACUCCCACUACCCUUCCCAGCCUCUGGUAACCAACUAUCUACUCUCUAUAUCCAUGAGUUCUACUGUUUGAUUUUUAGAUCCCACAAAUAAGUGAGAACAUGUGAUGUUUGUCAUUCUGUGCCUGGCUUAUUUCACUUCACAUAAUGAUCUCCAUUUCUAUACAUUUUGUUGCAAAUGACUGGAUCUCAUUCUUUUUUAUGGCUGAAUAGUACUCCAUUGUGUAUCUGUAUCACAUUUUCUUUAUCCAUUUAUCUGUUAAUGGACACUUAGGUUGCUUCCAAAUCUUACUUAUUGUAAACAGUGCUGCAACAAACAUGGGAGUGCAGAUAGCUCUCAAUAUAUUGACUUCCUUUCUUUGGGGUAUAUACCCAGCAGUGGGAUUACUGGACCACAUGAUAGCUCAAUUUUUAGUUUUUUUGAGUGUAUUAGUCAGGAUUCUCUAGAGAGACAGAACUAAUAGGAUACAUGUGUAUAUAAAUGGGAGUUUAUUAAGGAGUAUUAACUCACAUAAUCACAAGGCCCCACAAAAGGCUGUCUGCAAGCUGUGGAGCAAGGAAGCCAGUCUGAACCCCAAAACAGAAGAACCUGGAGUCCAAUGUUCAAGGGCAGGAAGCAUCCAGCAUGGGAGAAAGAUGUAGCCUAGGAGGUUAGGCCAGUCUAGUGUUUUCACGUUUUUCUGCCUGCUUUUAUUCUGGCCAUCUGACAGCUGAUUAGAUGGUGCUCACCCAUAUUAAGAAUGGGUCUGCUUUUCCCAGCCCACUGACUCAAAUGUUAAUCUCCUUUGGCAACAGCUUCACAGACACACCCAGGAACAAUACUUUGUAUCCUUUAACCAAAUUGACACUCAAUAUUAACCAUUACAUUGAAGGACCUUCAAACUGUUCUUUACAGUGGUUGUACUAAUUUACAUUCCCACCAACAGUGUGUGAGGGUUCCCUUUUCUCCACAUCCUCAUCAGCAUUUUUUAUUGCCUGUCUUUUGGAUAUAAGUCAUUUUUACAGGGGUGAGAUGAUAUCUCAUUGUAGUUUUGAUUUUCAUUUCUUUAAUGAUCAAUGAUGUUGAGCACCUUUUCAUAUGCCUGUUUGCCAAUUGUAUGUCUGCUUUUGAGAAAUGUCUAUCAAACUUUUGCCCAUUUUUUUAAUCAAAUUAUUAGAUUUUUUUCCUACAGAGUUGUUUGAGCUCCUUAUAUACUCUGGUUAUUAAUCCCUGGUCAGAUGGGUAGUUUGCAAAUAUUUUCUCCCAUUGUGUGGGUUGUCUCUUCACUUCGUUGAUUGUAUCUGUUGCUGUGCAGAAGCUUUUUAACUUAAUGUGAUCCCAUUUGUCCAUUUUGGCUUAGGUUGCCUGUGCUUGUAGGGUAUUGCUCAAGAAAUACUUUGCCCAGACCAAUGUCCUGAAGAUUUUCCCCAAUGUUUUUGUAGUAGUUUUAUGGUUUGAGGUCUUAGAUUUAAGUCCUUAAUCAAUUUUGAUUUGAUUUUUUUUGUUUAUGGUGAGAGAGAGGGAUAUAGUUGCAUUAUUCUGCAUAUAGAUAUCCAGUUUUCCCAGCACCAUUUAUUGAAGAGACUGUCUUUUUGCCAGUAUAUGUUCUGGCACCUUUGUUGAAAAUGAGUUCCCUGUAGGUGAAUUUGUUUGUUGGUUCUCUAUUGUGCUCUAUUGGUCUAUAUGUCUGUUUUUAUGCCACUACCAUGCUGUUUUGGUUAUUAAAGCUCUGUAGUAUAAUUUGAAGUUAGGUAAUGAGAUAACUCCAGUUUUCUUCAUUUUACUUGGGAUAUCUUUGGCUAUUCUGGGUCUUUUAUGGUUUCAUAUAAAUUUUAGGAAUGUUUUUUCUAUUUCUGUUAAGAAUGCCAUUAAUAUUUUGAUAGGAAUUGCAUUGAACCUGUAGAUUGUUUAGGGUACCAUGGACAUUGUAUCAAUUUUGAUUUAAGAACAUGGAAUAUUUAUUCCUUUUUUGGUGUCUUCAAUUUCUUUCAUCAGUUCUCACAGUUUUCAUUGUAGAGAUCUUUCACUUAUUUGAUUAGGUUAAUUCUUUGGUAUUACAUUUUAUUUGUGGCUAUUGUAAAUAAGAUUACAUUUUAAAUUUCUUUUUCACAUUGUUCACUGUUGGCAUAUGGAAAUGUCACUGAAUUUUGUAUGUUAAUUUUGUAUCCUGAGUCUUUACUGAAUUUGUGUAUGAGUUCUAAUAGUUUUUGGUAUCAUCUUUAGGUUUUUCCAAAUAUAAGAUCAUAUCAUCUGCAAACAAAGAUAAUCUGCCUUCUUCCUUUUGAAUUUGGAUGCCCUUUAUUUGUUUCUCUUGUCUGAUUGUUCUAGCUAAGACUUCCAGUAGCGUAUUGAAUAACAGUGAUGACAGUGGGCAUUCUUCUUGUGUUCCUGACCUUGGAGGAAAGGCUUUCAGUUUUACCCCAUUCAGUAUGGUACUAGCUGUGGGUAUGUAAUAUAUGGCUUUUAUUAUGUUGAGGUAUGUUCCUCCUGUCCUGAGUUUUUUGAGGAUAUUUACCAUGAAGGGAUGUUAAAUUUUAUCAAAAGCUUUUUAAGCAUUAAUUGAAAUGAUCAUAUGGUUUUUAUUCUUUAGUAUGUUUAUAUGAUGUAUCACAUUGAUUGAUGAUUGCAUAUGUUGAACCAUUGUUGCACCCCAGGAAUAAAUCUCACUUAGCCAUGAUGAAUGAUCUUUCUAAUGUAUUGUCGAAUUUGGUUUGUUAGUAUUUUGCUGAGAAUUUUUGUAUCACUAUUCAUCAGAGAUAUUAACCUGUAGUUUUAUUUUUUUGAUGUGUCUUUGGUUUUGGUAUUAAGGCAAUAUUGGCCUCAUGAGAUGAGUUUUGAAGUAUUCCCUUCUCCUCUAUUUUUUGGAAUUGUUUGAGUAGAACUGGUAUUAUUUCUUGUUUAAAUGUUUGGUAGAACUCAGCAGUGAAGCCAUCAGGUCCCAGGCUUUUAUUUUUUUAUUUUUAUUUUUAUUUUUUUACUUGGAGCCUUUUUUUUUUACGGCUUUGAUCUUGUUACUUGUUAUUGGUCUAUUCAGUAUUUGAAUUUCUUCUCGGUUCAAUUUUGGUAGGUUGUAAGUAUCUCAGAAUGUUUCCAUUUAUUCUAGAUUUUCCAGUUUGUUAGCAUAUAUUAAUAGUUCCUCAUAGUAGCCACUAAUGUCCUUUAAAUUUCUGCAGUAUCAGUUCUAUUAACUUGUCAUUUCCAAUUUUAUUUAGAUCUUCACUCAUGUUUUUUUAGUCUGACUAAAGAUUAAUUAAUUUUGUUUAAUUUUUCAAUACCUAUAUAAGGUGAUGGAUAUGUUAAUUAGCUGGAUUGUGGCAAUCAUUUCACAAUAUAUAUGUAUGUCAAAACAUAUUGUACACCUUCAAUAUAUAUGAUUUUCAUUUGUCAAUUAUAUCCCAAUAAAGCCAGAAAAAAAGAAUCUCCAAAACAAAAAACAAAACAAAAAACAAAAAAACAGCAUUUUGUUCCAUUGAUCUUUUCUUUUUUUUUUUACAUUUCAAUUUCAUUUAUUUCUGCUCUGAUCUUUAUUAUUUCUUUUCUGCUACUAGUUUUUGGUUUGGUUUGCCCUUGCCUUUCUAAUUCUUUAAGAUGCAUCAUUAGACUGUUCAUUUGAUGUUUUUCCUGUAUUUUGAUGUGGCACUUAUAGCUAUAAACCUCUGUCUUAGUGCUGUUUUUUGCUGCAUUCCAUAGGUUUUGGUAUGUUGUGUUUCCAUUAUCAUUUGUUUUGAGAAAUAUUUCAAUUUCCUUCCUAAUUUCUUCAUUCACCCACUGGUCAUUCAGAGCAUAUAUGUUUAAUUUCUAUUUAUUUGUAUAGUUUCCAAAAUUACUCUUGUUAAUUUCUAAUUUUAUUCCACUGUGGUCAGAAAAGAUAUUUGAUAUUAUUUUAAUUUUUUAAAAUGUUUUAAGACUUGUUUUAUGACCUAACAUACAGUCCAUCCUUGACAGUAGUUCACGUGAUGAGAAAAAGAAUGUGUUUUCUGCAGCUCUUGGAUGAAAUAUUCUGUAAAUAUCUAUUAGAUUCAUUUUGUUUAUAGUGCAGAUUAAGUCUGAUGUUUCUUUGUUGAUUUUCUGUCUGGAAGAUCUGUCUAAUGCUGAAAGUAGUAUGUUCAAGUCUCCAGCUGAUAUUAUAUUAGGUCUAUCUCUCUCUUUAGCUCUAAUAAUAUUUGCUUUAUAUAUCUGGAUGCUCCAGAGUUGGGUGCAUAUAUAUUGAAAAUUAUAUCCUCUCAUUGAAUUGACCCCUUUAUCAUUAUGUAGUGACCUUCUUUGUCUCUUCUUACAGUGUUUGUCUGAAAGGUCACAUAUUUCUGUUUCUUCAGGAUUGGUCCCUAGUACCCUAUUUAGUUCAUUUGGUGAAGUCAUGUUUUCCUGGAUGUUGUUAAUGCUAGUAGAUGUUCUUCGGUGUCUGGGCAUUAAAGAGUUAAGUAUUUAUUGUAGUAUUCACUAUCUGUGCUUAUUUGUACUUGUCCUUCUUGGGAAGGCUUUCCAGAUAUUUGAAAGGACUUGGGUGUUGUGACCUGAGCUGUAUCUGCUUUAGAGGGCACCCCAAGCUCAGUAAUGCUGUAGUUCUUGAAGACUCAUAUAUGUACUGCUUUUAUCAUCUUAGACAAGAACCAGGAGAACUAUCUGAAUUACCAGAGAAUUGUUGUAGACUCUUGUUCUCUUCCCUUACUUUCUACCAAACAAACAAAGUCUCACUGUCUGUUUUAAGCCAUCUAAAGCUUGUGGGUGAAGUGACACAAGCAACCCUGUGGCCACCACCCCUAUGACUGCACUGGGUCAGACUUGAAGACAGCAAAGUGCUAGGUCUUGCCCAAGACCUUUUAUAACCACUCCCUAACUACUGCCUAUGUUAGCUCAAGUCCCUGGGGCUCUACAAUCAGCAGGUAGCAAAGCCAGCUAGGCCUGUGUCCUUCCCUUCAGGGCGGUGAGUUCCCCCAGGUCCCAGUGGGUCCAGAAGUGCUAUCUGGGAGUCAGGGACUAGAGUCAAAAACCUUAGAAGUCUACCUGGUAUUCUAUUGUAUUGCAGCUGAGCUGGCACUCAAACCGCAAGUUGUAGUCCUUCCCACUUUUCCCUCAACUUUCCAAAAGCAGAGAUACCUCACCCCAUAGCCACUGCCACCACAGUCCACAAGGGGUACUGCCAGUCUGUCGCUGACAUUCCCUAAAGUUCCAAUGUCUCUUAAGUUAGCUUAUCGUGAAUGUUGCCUGGCCAGGAACUCAUUCUUCAGGGCAGUGGGUUCCCUCCUGGCCCAGGGCAGGUCCAGAAAUGCUGUCCAAGAGCCCACUUGGUGUUCUGCCCAUCUGUGGCCUUUCUGGUACCUACGGUGCAAGUCAAAAUCCCCUUUACUUUUCCCUCUGAUUUUUAUAAGCAGAAAGAGUUUUGCCACAUAGCCACCACAGCUGGUAAUGUGCUGAGUCUCACCUGAAACCAACAAGUCUGAGAGACCCAUCCAAGGCCCUCAAUGUAGUACUUGGAUAUCACUGCUGGUUAUUCAAGGCCCAAGGUAGCAUCUUCAGGUAGUAGGUGAUGAAUACUGCCAGGAAUGGGACCUUUACUUCAAGGCAGUGGGUUCCCUUCUAGCCCAGGAUGUGUCUAGAAAUGCCUUGGAGCUGCGGCCUGGAAUGGGGGCCUCACAACUGUGACUGGUGCCCUAUCUUGCUGUGGCUGAGCAGGUAUGCAGGAAGCAAGACAAACACCUCCCCCUUUUUUGCUUUCCUCUCCUAAAGCAGAAGGAUAAGAUCUCUUUUGGAGCUGUGAGAUGUGCAGGCUGUGGCUAGGGGAGGGGUGACGCCAGCACUCCCUCGGCUGCCCCAGCUGGUGUCUCAGUAUGUCAUGUGCCCUCCCAGUCCACUAUCUCUGGGCCUAGUUCAGCACUGGGCCUUGCCUAAGAGAUGCAGUCCUUAUGGCCUAGACUGUCUUUCAAGUUUCCUUGGAGACACAGAGUGCUAUAGCCUGUUGUGGUGAGGCUUGUAGGCACUUAAGUUCCAAAUGCUGGGAUUGGAGAUUCCCUUCUGGCUGGGGCUGGUUUAAGUGCUUCCUCUAUGGGUGGGCGUCAGCUGAGUUUGGUCUGGUUUUCCUUUCUACUCUCCUAAGAUAGCCCUGAGUUCAAUGCCUUACAAAUACUAUGCUGUCCUUCCCCUAAUACCCAGAGAUUGUUUCCCAGCACCAUGCCACCUCUGCUGAAGGGCAGGAGAGGGGUGACAUCAGUGGCUCAGGACUGUUUUUUCCUAUCUCUUCAGUGCGUCUUUCAGUGAUAUGAAGUUAAAACCAAGUACUAUGAGUGCCCACCUGAUUUUUGGUUCUUAUCAAGGUUUUUUUCUGUGUAGAUAGUUGUUAGCUUGGUGUCCUUGCUGAGGGGAUGAUUGGUGGCACCCUUUACUCAGCCAUCUUACCCAGGAACAACUUUCUUAACUGGAGGAACAGCAAGUGCUAAUGACCUAAGGCAGGAAGGGGCUUAAUACGUUUAAGAAAGGAAAACAUGCCAGUGCUGCUGAAGAUGAAUGAACAAAGUGCCGAGUAGGAGAAGAUGAGAAGAGCAAGAUACGGGAGGGCCAGAUAAUGCAGUAGCUUCCCCAACAAGGGCAGAUAUUGAGAUUUUAUUUAGUUAUUGAAGAGUUUUAAACAGGACAAGGAUAUUAUAUUCAUUUUCUAGGGUUGCCAUAGCAAAGCACCAAAGACUUGGUGGCUCAUAAAAUACAACAGAAAUGUAUUUCCUCACAGUUCCAGGGGCUUUAAGUCCAAGAUCGAGGUGUUCUUAAGAUGAAGGUGUUGGCAGGGUUUGCUUCUUCUGAGGCCUUUCUCCUUGGCUUACACAUGGCCGUCUUCUUCUGGUGUCUUAGCACAGUCUUCUUUCCAUGCCUGCCUGUGUCCUACUCUCCUCUUCUAACAAGGACACCAGCCAUAUUAGAUAGGGUCCACCCACAUGGCCUAAUUUUUACCUUCUUUAAAAGCUCUGUCUCCAAGAUAUAGUCACAUUCUGAGGUAUUGAUGGUUAGGCCUUCAACAUAUGAAUCGGGGGAACAAAAUUCAGCCAUAACAGUUAUGAUGUGAUUUCUUGUUAAAAAGACAAUAUCAACCCCUCUUUAGUUUUUCUGUGGAGAAUGGAUUGUAGGGAGGCAGGAGUGGAAGUAAGGAGAUACAUUAGGAGGUAUUUGUAACAAUUCAGAAGGAGGUAUUUAUAACAGUUCGGUUAGAAGAUGAUAGAGACUUCAACAAGGCUGGUAGCAGAAAAUGGAAAGUAUUGAACAAAUUUGGGAUAUGUUUAGAGGUUAAUGGAACCAGCAGCUCUUCCUGAUAAUCAGUGUAUUAGUUAGAGGGGGCUGAACUCUGGUACCAAAUAGCCAGUGUGUGUUUGUGCCUCUGUGUGUAUGUAUGGACUUAAAUAGAACUUUAUUCCUCACUGUUGUACCAACCCAGGGAAGAUUUUUUAAUGUGAAUUGGCAGCAGUCCUACAAAUGAUGAUUCAGAGACUCAAAUCUUUUCAUCUUUUGGCUGACAG